AGUGACUCUCCUGCCUCAGCCUCCCGAGUAGCUGGGAUUACAGAUCAGCCAUAUUCUAACAAUACAUUUCAAAGUACUGCUGACGGAGGCUCCACCUGAAACCUGUUCUCUCAGAUAAGUAUCUUCAUCCCAUUCAUCGUUUCAAGAAAAAUAAAUAAAUAAAUCUUACAGCACGGCAGCAUUUUCAUCUGCUUUGGUUUCAGCCAGAGAUAAACUGUUCCUGCUGCAAAGUAAUUAAUAUCAGUCGCCUGGAAAGCAGAAAUUGGGAGACAACAGGCUCCUCUUUCUUGAUAAACAGAUUGUUGGGUUUCCUUUGGGAGGGGAAGGAAUAACCUUGAAGAGAGGUGAGAAUUGUCAUGGAUUUUGUGUGACUUGUUACUCAAGAUGACUCAUUAAGCUGCCAAGAGCCUCACAGCCCAUCCAAACUUCUCAAACAACCCCUUCAAUUCCAGCCCUUGACCUGAUCUAUGUAGAGGGUUGGAAAAUUCACAGCAAUACAAAGCUAUGGAAACAGACUGUCAUCCACAUAUAUGUUGGGUGAUGGGGGAGACAUGAAGAGUGAGAGACUGUGGAGACAGGAAAGUAGCAACAUUUGCCAUGAGAUUUUCCUCGAAACCAUCUCCUUCUUGAAUUUAGACACUCAUUGUUUAUGUGCAGUGGCCCUAGGUACAGAAGGGUCACCACCCCAAGGAGAACUAUACCCUCCGGACUCAUAAACCAAAUUCUAGCCAGAUUCUCCCGGAAUAAAAUACUACAGUUCAUCCAUUAAGCUAAAUCUCCUUUCAACAAUUCCCUUCUUACCUGGCCCAUGAAAUGAAUAAUGAAGAGAUUAUUUUCUGGGCAAAUUGGUAGAAAAAUCCUGAUGCAGACAGUUCCCCUUCUGAUUGCACCUGACUUCCAUUCAUUGACUAUCACAUCAAGUAGUGGUUCUGGGAAUUCAAAGGAGAGCUCAGCAAAAGAAGAAGAAAAAAAAGCCCACAAAGUUUUUCAAGGUACCUACUGCAGUUAUCAGUUCAUAGAUCUAAAUGUUCGCACUGUAUGCUUGAUUUGCACAUUCCAAACCAAUUUGGUAAUUUUUUUCAUUUUUAUCUACACGCAUGAAGUGAUUUGGAAUACUGAAACAAUUUAGAAUCAUAUUUCGUUUGCAACAGUUCAAUUAACUUAAGUGCUGGAACAUGCUCUCCAACUGGUAACUAGUUUAAUUGGUUACUAUUACAAGAAAUAAAUUCUAUAGUCCUGGG